rfam:Exophiala dermatitidis NIH/TT8656 unplaced genomic scaffold supercont1.3, whole genome shotgun sequence.
GCAAUCGACCAUAGGAACAAGAAAACAGAGCUUCCCGUCCGCUCAGCUGCACUUAAGCUUGUUGCCGGCUAGUUAGUACUAAAGUGGGUGACCAUUUGGGAAUCCUGGCUGUUGAUUGUU